AGAUCUAUCUUGCUCUUUAUCUCAGGUUUCAAGAUUGAUGAUUGAGGACUCUGGAGCUGUAAAUGGGGUUAUAUUGGCUGAUGGGACAAAGGUGCAUUCUUCAGUUGUUUUGUCAAAUGCAACCCCUUACAAAACUUUUAUGGAAUUGUUACCUGAAAAUGUUCUUCCAGAUGAUUUUAUCUGUGCCAUUAAGCAUUUGGAUUAUAGCUCCGUAAGUUUCUUUGUAUAUUACUUGUUACUUUCUUCAAUUAUUAGAUAAUCUGUGCUGUUCAUGCCGUUAUUUUCUUAUCAACAAACAAAAUUUUGAAAAAAAAUAGUGUUGAGAAUAAGAUUUUUUAAGCUUCUUGAGUACUGCAAUGACAUCCAGGAGCAACAACAUUCCAUCCAAUGGGUUCGUACUUCCACUGAAAUUACAGAGCAUUUUGAACUUUCUGAGAAAUAAAAGUGAAACGUAUAUAUAGUUACCAAAACUUUAAGAUUCUCAAUUGAAAUUUCUCAAAGCAAUCUGACUAGUUUGCGAAUAUUAGAGAUCUUCAAUAUUUGAAAUAAUAAUAAUAAAUAACUUUUCAUCUUUGUGUAUGUGUUAUCUAUAUAUUGAGUAAGAAUUUUAAUUAAAGAAAUUGGAGGAAGUUAAAAACUCCAAACUUCUGCUGGUCAAGGUGAAUGAUUGAUAUAUAAUCGAUCAACAAAGUCAACUGAGCAAUAUUUCAUUUUUUAGGUUGCCCCAUUGAGGAGUUCCCUCUUAAAUAUCUGAGUUUGCCUUUAGGAGGGGAUCCUCGAGCGGAUUCUUUUUGGAAUCUGUACUUGUCGAGAUUGGGAAAAGAAUAGAUGGCUGGAAGAGAGCGUUGUUGUCUAAGGGGGGAUAUACAUUUUGGUGCAAUCACUGCUGAGUUGCAUCCCUAUCUACUCGUCUUUGUUUACGAUUCUAGUAAGGAUUGCAAAGAAAGUCGGGAAGUUGGUGCGAGACUUUCUUUGGGAAGGGUGUGAUGAAGAUAAGAAGGAUCACUUAGUUAAGUGGGAGGUGGUUUCUCUCCCUAGGGAGAAAGGGGGUCUUGCUAUCGGGAAUAUUGUUGCGAGGAAUAUUAGACUCUUGAGCAAAUGGUUGUGGAGGUUCCCUAGUGAAAGCGAGUCAUUAUGGUGCUCCAUCAUUAAAAACAAGUAUGGUGUUUAGGACAAUGGUAGAGAUUCAAAUGUGGUUAGGAG